rnacentral:lncRNA from 1 species
GUGAGCCCUUAAGGGAACAUCUCAAUUGAAAACUAAUAAUUUAAAUUAUUUAAAUUAAAUUCUUUUCAAUAAUGCUUCUCGGUUCGCCGCCAGACGUCUGUCCAGCUGAGAGGCGUCAGAAAUUAUCACCAGCCAGAGCCGUGACAUAGCAAAAGCCAUAACCCGAUACACCAGACAUCGAUCAGCCGUUCGGACGCCGCACUGACCCGCCAGCAGAGGCUGAGCUCGGCGCUGGCCAAGACAGGGCCAGUCUUGAUGGCACGGAACCCAAUCAAUGCUGACCACAACCAGUCAGAGUCGCCAAUUGCCGACUGCUC